rnacentral:lncRNA from 1 species
CUUUCUCCCCUCUUUCCAGGAGAGGAACUAUUCAAGUGGCUGAGACUAUGGUAUGAAUUUCUUUCAAAAACCGGGGAACCUCCUCCUUUCGCCCCCACUGCAGCAGGAAACCUACCUAAGGUUUCGU